rnacentral:rRNA from 1 species
UACGUAGGGCGCAAGCGUUGUCCGGAAUUAUUGGGCGUAAAGAGCUCGUAGGCGGUUUGUCGCGUCUGCUGUGAAAACCUCAGGCUCAACCUGGGGCUUGCAGUGGGUACGGGCAGACUAGAGUGCGGUAGGGGUGACUGGAAUUCCUGGUGUAGCGGAGGAAUGCGCAGAUAUCAGGAGGAACACCGGUGGCGAAGGCGGGUCUCUGGGCAGUAACUGACGCUGAGGAGCGAAAGCGUGGGGAGCGAACAGG